GACGAACGCUGGCGGCGUGCUUAACACAUGCAAGUCGAACGGAAACGCCCUUUCGGAGGUACUCGAGUGGCGAACGGGUGAGUAACACGUGGGUGCUCUCCCCUGCACUCUGGGAUAAGCCUGGGAAAAUGGGUCUAAUACCGGUUAGGACCGCACUUUAGUGCGUGUGGCGGAAAGGUUGAUCGGUGUUGGAUGAGCCGGUGGCCUAUCAGCUUGUUGGUGGGGUAAUGGCCUACCAAGGCGGCGACGGGUAGCGGGACUGAGAGGCUGGUCGGCCACAUAGAGUCUUAGGGGAGGCCCAAGCUGCGAAUGGAGGCAGCAGCGGGGAAGAUUGCUCAAGCAGCGCCAGCCUGAUGAAGCAGCGCCGCGUGGGGGAAGACGGCCUUCUGGGGGAAGAAACCUUUCUGCAGGGACGAAGCGGUUAAUGACGGUACCUGAAGAAGAAGCACCGGCUAACUACGUG
rnacentral:rRNA from 1 species